AUUCACCCCAAAUUUCCCCCAAAAUCCCCCAAAUUCCAAAAAAACCUCCAAAUUUCCCCCAAAAUCCCUCAAAUAAUCCCAAAUUUCCCCAAAAUCUCUCAAAUUCACCCCAAAUUUCCCCAAAAUCUUUCCCAAAUCCCCCAAAUUUUCCCCAAAAUCCACUCAAAUUUUCCCCAAAAUCCCCCAAAUUUCCCCCAAAAUCCCCCAAAUUUCUGCAAAUCCCCCAAAUUUUCCCAAAAUCCCCCGAAUUUGCCCAAAAUCCCCGUUUUUUCCCCCAUUUUCCAGGUCUCCCCGAUCCUGCCCCGGCUGCUCCCGGAGCUGCAGCGGCGCCUGCGGGAAAAACGGGAACAGAUUUGGGAUUUCCUCCUGGGACCCCCCAAAAAUCCCCCAAAUCCUUCCAAAAUCCCCCAAAUUCCACCCAAAAAUCCUCAAAUCCCCCAAAACUUCCCCAAAAACCCCGAAAAUCUCCCCAAAAACUCCCAAAACGUCCCCAAAACCCCCAAAAUCGACCCCAAAAACCCCAAAAAUUUCUCCCAAAACUUCGAAAUCGACCCCAAAACUUUCCCCCAAAUCUUCCCUAAAAACCCCGAAAAUCUCCCCAAAAACCCCCAAAACUUCCCCCAAAACCCCGAAAAUCUCCCCAAAAACCCCAAAAUCCCUGAAAAUCUCCCCAAAAACCCCCAAAACUUCCCCAAAAACCCCGAAAAUCUCCCCAAAAACCCCAAAAUCCCCCAAAUUCACCCCGAAAACCUCCCCAAAAGACCCGAAAAUCUCCCCCAAAACCUCCCCAAAAACCCCGAAUUUUGCCCCAAAACCGACCCCAAAACCCCCAAAAAUCCGCCCCAAACCCCUGAAAAUCCCAAAAACCCCAAAUUUUUCCCCAAAACGCCCCAAAAUCGCCCAAAUUUGGGGGAACUUUUGGGGGCGGAGCGGCUUCGGCAGCGGCGGCUGCGGCAGCGCCUGGAGAGCCUCGGCUGGGAGUACCCCCAGGUGGGACUGGUUUGUACUGGUUUGUACUGGUUUAUACUGGUUUGUACUGGUUUAUACUGGUCCAUACUGGUUUAUACUGGUUUAUACUGUUCCAUACUGGUCCAUACUGGUCCAUACUGGUCCGUACUGGUUUAUACUGGUUUAUACUGGUUUAUACUGGUUUAUACUCAUUUUUUUUCCGAUUUUUACUGGGGUUUUUCCUCCAUACUGGUUUAUACUGGUCCAUACUGGUCCAUACUGGUUUAUACUGGUUUUUACUGAUUUUUACUGAAUUUUUUCCGAUUUUUACUGGGUUUUUUUGUCCAUACUGGUCCAUACUGGUUUAUACUGGUCCAUACUGGUCUAUACUGGUCCAUACUGGUUUAUACUGGUUUUUACUAGUCCAUACUGGUCCAUACUGGUUUAUACUGGUUUUUACUGGUUUUUACUGAAUUUUUUCCGAUUUUUACCGGUUUUUUUUCCUCCAUACCGGCCCAUACUGGUCCAUACCGGUCCAUACUGGUUUAUACUGGUUUAUACUGGUUUAUACUGGUUUAUACUGUUUUUUACUGGUUUUUACUCAUUUUUUUUCCAAUUUUUACCGGGUUUUUUUUGUCCGUACUGGUUUAUACUGGUCCAUACUGGUUUAUACUGGUCCAUACUGGUCUAUACUGGUUUAUACUGGUUUAUACUAAUUUUUUUUCCAUUUUUUACCGGGUUUUUUUGCUCCAUACCGGCCCAUACUGGUCCAUACUGGUCUAUACUGGUCCAUACUGGUUUAUACUGGUCCAUACUGGUGCAGGCCCUGCUCCGCUGCCUGUCCCUGCUGUCCCACCUCCGCCUGCUGGUCUGUACUGGUUUAUACUGGUUUAUACUGGUUUAUACUGGUUUAUACUGGUCCAUACUGGUUUAUACUGGUUUAUACUGGUUUAUACUCAUUUUUUUCCGUUUUUUACUGGGUUUUUUUGCUCCAUACUGGUUUAUACUGGUCCAUACUGGUCCAUACUGGUCCAUACUGGUUUAUACUGGUCCGUACUGGUUUAUACUGGUCCAUACUGGUUUAUACUGGUUUAUACUGGUCUAUACUGGUCUAUACUGGUUUAUACUGGUUUUUACUGAAUUUUUUCCGAUUUUUACGGGGUUUUUUUCCUCCAUACUGGUCCAUACUGGUCCAUACUGGUCCAUACUGGUUUAUACUGGUCCAUACUGGUUUAUACUGGUUUUUACUGUUUUUUACUGAUUUUUUUCCAUUUUUUACUGGGUUUUUUUCCUCCAUACUGGUUUAUACUGGUUUAUACUGUUUUUUACUGGUUUUUACUCAUUUUUUUUCCGAUUUUUUCCGGGUUUUUUUUGUCCGUACUGGUCCAUACUGGUUUAUACUGGUCCAUACUGGUCCAUACUGGUCCAUACUGGUUUAUACUGGUCCUUACUGGUCUAUACUGGUCCAUACUGGUGCAGGCCCUGCUCCGCUGCCUGUCCCUGCUGUCCCACCUCCGCCUGCUGGGGGCGCUCCAGACCCACCUGGACGAGGGGCGGGGCCGGUACCUGCUGGCCAAGGGCGGGGCCGUGCUGCUCAAGAGCAGGUGAGGACACGCCCCCUGCCCUCAUUUGCAUCUCAUUAGCAUGCAUGUUGACGAUGAGAUGGCGCCGCCCAUCCCGGUUCCCACCAGUUCGUCCCAGUUUGUCCCAGUUUGUCCCAGUGAGGCCAAAUCCCAUUCACAGUUCGUCCCAGUUCAUCCCAAUUCAUCCCAGUUCAGUCCCAGUUCAAUCCCAGUUCAUCCCAGUUCAGUCCCAGUUCAUCCCAGUUCAGUCCCAGUUCAUCCCAGUUCAUCCUAGUUCAGUCCCAGUCCAUCCCAGUCCAUCCCAGUUCAUCCCAGUAUGGCCCAGUAACCCCAGACUCCGUUCCCAGUUCAUCCCAGUCCGUCCCAGUUCAUCCCAGUUCAAUCCCAGUUCAUCCCAGUUCAAUCCCAGUUCAUCCCAGUUCAAUCCCAGUUCAUCCCAGUAAACCUUAAACCCAUUCCCAGUUUGUCCCAGUUGCUCCCAGUGACUCCAAAC
rnacentral:lncRNA from 1 species